GACAUAUUUCUUGACCCACUGCAAUCUCUCCUAUGGACAAAGCCCAGGUGUUAUGACUCUCCUCUUUUCACUGGAACCUGCCAAGAAGGGUGAUUGUGACAUAUCACUGGACCCAGCACCUUGGUAAUGUGACUCUCCUCUCCUCCUUGGGGCCUGCGUACAUUGUGUCUAUUGAAAUAUGGCUGGUCCAACACCUAAGUAAUGUGACUCUCCUGCAUAGGCCUUGCUAAUAGGGGAAGUAUGACAUAUGUUUUGUUUAUCACUUAAGUGAUGUUACUCUCCUUUUCUUCCUGAAUCCUGUAAAAGGGGGGGAUUUUGACCCUAUCACUGGACCCAGCACAUAAGUAAUAUGAGUUUCCUGCAUAGGCUGUGUUCAGAAGGGUAUUAUGACGUAUCUUUUUGUUCAUCACUUUGUGACUCGUCUUUUGACUGGAACCUGCCAAAAAGGGUGAUUGUGACAUAUUACUGGACCCAGCCCCUAGGUGAUGUGGCUCUCCUUUUUUUCUGGGCCUCACAUAUUUUGGGUAUUGUGAUGUAUAGCCGGGCUCAACACCUAGCGGUUGGGGAGCCCCUUUCUUGACCAUUCCCACAAAUGACAUAUCUCUGCUAUGACUGCCUAUGACACAUAACCUAAAUAUGUGACUCUUCUUUUCUGCCUGCACCCUGCUAACAGAGAAGAUUGUGACAAAUUGCUAAGUGCAGUGUAUCUUGUGCUGACCUUCUAUCUCAGCCUGUGACCAAGAAUGCCUAACCUCUGGGGAAUGCAGCCCUGUAGGUCUCAACCUCAAUUUACCCAGCCACUAUUCAAAAUAGAGUCACUCUGGUUUAAAUGCCUCUGACAUUAAGAUACACUAUAAAAUUAUGAAAAAAGUUUAUUUGAAUUUUAGCAAAUAAGAAAUGAAAUAAUUAGAAUGGGCUAUUCUGAAAGAUAAAGCAUUAGUUAUAUUUGUGUUUGAGUUUUCUAUUAACCUAUAUUUGUUACUUAUGAAUAGAUAACUUGUUUUAUUCUGUCUAAACAGAUACACUAGGUGGGGUGUGGUGGCUCAUGCCUGUAAUCCCAGCACUUUGGGAGGCCGAGGCGAGUGGAUCACCUGAGGUCAGGAAUUUGAGACAAGCCUGACCAACAUGGCAAAACCCUGUCUCUACUAAAAAUGCAAAAAUUAGCUGGCCAUGGUGGCGGGUGCCUGUAAUCCCAGCUACUUUGGAGGCUGAGGCAGGAGAAUCGCUUGAACCCAAGAGGCAGAGGUUGCAGUGAGCCAAGAUCAUGCCACUGCAUUCCACCCUGGGUGACAGAGCAAGACUCUGUCUCAAAAAAUAAGCUAAAAUAAGCGGCCAGGCAUGCUGUCUCACGCCUGUAAUCCCAACACUUUGGGAGGCUGAGGAGGGUGGAUCACAAGGUCAGGAGUUUAAGACCAGCCUGGCCAAGAUGGUGAAACCCUGUCUCUACUAAAAAUACAAAAAUAAGCCACGUGUGUUGGCAGGUGCCUGUACUCCCAGCUACUCGGGAGGCUGAGGCAGAGAAUUGCUUGAACCCAGGAGGCAGAGUUUGCAGUGAGCCAAGAUCUCACCAUUGCACUCCAGCCUGGGUGACAGAGGGAGAUUCUGUCUCAAAAAAAAAAAAAAGGAGGACAUAAAUUUAAUGUUAAGUGUGGACUCAUAAAGAACCUAGACAGCCACCAAGCCAUUUGUUUAUUCUUGAUUUCUUAAAGCUUCCAUUAUUAAAAGCUCUGCGUUCCAUUACUCAUCA